rnacentral:lncRNA from 1 species
AGGAGGAGGGGAGGAAGAAGGAGGAGAAGGUAGAAGAGAUGGAGAUGAACAGACGGACAGACCGGACAGACGAACUCCCGUCGCAUUAGCCGCAAUAACAACGACGAUGGAUAGGAAAUUGAAUGAAACCUUCGUAAUCAUUAAUUAGGAUAAAGCGAAGCUUGCGCGUGUUUUUUCUUGUUGUGCAUAAAGAGACGAAGAACAAAUAUUAAGAACAUGACCGUUUAUAUAUGCAUAUAUAAAUAUGUAUUAUAUGUACAUAUAUAUAUAUAUAGAUUUAUAAGAGAUGUCGACAAAACGAUGAUGAUCGUGUCUGUCUUUUGAUUCUAACUGGUGACGUCAUUAAGAAAUGAUAAAAGUUCGUCGCUCCAAUCUCAUCAAAUACGCUUUGUAUUUCGAAGAUCAGCAUUGGGAUGAGAGGCGUAUAAUAAGGCGAAUGGUGUUGAUGGCGUUGUCACGAUUGUAAUUUGAUCAAACAUUAAAAGAUAGAACAAAAAAGAGAGAGAAACGAAUAGAAAGCAGAGAAUAUUAGAACUGUCUAUUCUCUUCGUAACUUAUAUGUUUAUCGUAUAACGCAAGCAAAGAAAAGUGUUGCUGUAUCAGAAAGAAAAUGAUGGAUAGUAAAAUGACUUAUCUUUGAAUUUGCGUGAUUCCUCGACACAAGUGAUCCAUACAAAGCCGACCGACAGAAGCCGAGCAUUUGUGGAAUAUAUAGAGGCCCAUUAUCAAGAGAUCGAUUGCGAGAUUUGUGAUCGUUAAAACGGACAUUAAACGUGACCGCCGAUAGGUGGGAAAAGCUUCCAUCGAUCAUCAAUAUCCUACCUAUAUGCAUAUACAGGGUGUCCAAAAAGGUUCGAACUAAAUUUAUACUACGUAUUUGUGAGGUCAAAUAGAUUUCAAAUAUUUCAACUGUAUUGAGAAUAAUAAUAAAUGCAUUUUGUAUAUGUUCUCAAAAUUCAUGUUCUGUUUCUAGCGUAUUUUUAUAAACAAACUCUUUUACGUGAUCCCAUAAAGAUAAGUUCAGAAACGUUAAGUCAGGUAAACUAGGAGACCAACUGAAUCAUUGAGAAUUAUAAUACGUAUAUGAUUCUUUACAAUGAAUUAUAAUACGAAUUUUUCCCGUAAAUCUAUGAAUGCUUUUAUUUUUCCAUUAAGCACUUUCGGCAAUAAAUUCAUCUGAUUUUUUUCAUCCAUUUGACUUUAGUAAUACGUAGUAUAAGUUUGAUCCCAACCUUUUUGGACAUCCUGUAUAUUGUUGAAUAAAAGUAUUGAUAACAAAUUAAA